CCCCCCCCCCCCCCUCUCUCUCUCUCUCUAACCCAAGACACAGCCAUCAGCCAUUCACGACGAUGUCUUAUCUGCUAUCUUCUUCUUGCUCCAUAUAAUAAAAUCGGCGACCAAACAAUCAGGCUCACUUCUUAUUUUGCUUCUCUGUCUCCCACAAAAACCCUAGUUUCUAUCACCACUUCUUGAAUUAGUGAAUUAGGGGUUAGGGUUUGGAGUGAUUUGGGGAGAAGAUGGGAUUGGGUAGUCUUGGAGUUGUGCGCCGGCGAGGAGCUAUCAAAAAUAAAUAUCACCCUUUUCAAUGAUCAAUAAAGCUAUUCUUGUUUCUCUCUCACACUUCCGUUCCCUUCCCACUUCUCAUGUUUCUGUUCUUCAUCCUUAACCCAAAAACAGGGUAGGAACAAGAAUUUCCAAACAAAACCCACAUACUCUUCCAUCUAAUUUGAUCUUUUUUAUGGGUAUUUUAUUUUCCUUUUUCUUUUGAUUUUGGGAUAAUGGAUUUCGAUUACAUUGAAUGCGUUUCAACAUCGGAUGAAUGAAAUGAGGACGAGAUCCCAUACCAUCAUCAUCGUCAUCAACAUCAACAUCAACAUCGUCAAAACAGCCAUCAAAAUCCCCAGAUUUUAUCAUCAAAACUCACUAUGUUAAUGUCGUUUCUUCCAAAAUUAAUCCCACCCCCAGUGUUUACAAGCUUCUCGAAUGCCCUGUUUGUACCAAUUCAAUGUACCCUCCAAUACAUCAGGAAGGAUAAUUGGUCUCUUGAAAAAGUGUAAGUGCUUUCUCUGCAGUCCUAAAUGGGAAUGCUUCAGGGAUCUUGGGUCUAAUAUCUGUUGAUGAAAUCUCUGUUUUAGUUGAGGUGGUUAAUAGUUUGAUCUUUGCUCUAUCAAACACAUUGAUCACAACCAACACAUCUACUUCUAGAAAUUCUAAUUAUUUUGAUACUCAAGAGAUGUUGCAUGUUAGUUCUGGAAAUGAGAUGCUGAUGAGUUCAAUUACUGGAAUGCCCUUGGUCAUUUUGACCACUCUCUAUAUUUGUGUUGUUAAUAGAAGCUGUUGGAGAGGAGACACAUCAGAAAAACACAGAAGCAAGUGAAGUUCUUCCUGAUGUUCCAAUGGUUGAGGGACAGAAUAUUCAACAACGCCUUUUCAAUCUAAAAGUAAAGAUGCAUCUUUAGAUGAUGUAGUAACCAAAGCUAUGAAUGAUGAACAUACAAGAACCACAUCAGUCAGUCAGUAGAACGGAUUGGGUUUAUGCUUCAGCCACAUGGGUUCUUUAACUGCUCUCCUACAGUGGAUGUUCCUCCUAGUCUUGGAGCUUAUGAGUCAGAUGUGAAGGAGGGCCAUGUGAAAGAGACGAUUGCCACCAAGUCGAUUUCAAAUGGGUUGAUAGCUAAGCUUUGAACAUCCAUUCACGUGUUUGAUUUAUCUCGAUACUAGAUGGAGAAGAAGCAUUAAAAGUCUUAUGUGGUGGGAUAGCUAACAGAGCUGUUGGAGAGACUCGUAUUCCUCUCUCUCUCUCUCUCUCUCUCUCAUUUAUGCUAGUUGUUUGAUUGAUUUGUCAACUCAUGUAGAGAUGAAUGCUGGAAGCAGUAGAAGUCACUAUUCAGAAAGAAGUAACAAAUGAGAAAAGGGGGAGACGUGGAAAGGUUGUUCUUGUGGAUUUGGCACGGUCUGAGAAGAUAGGUGCUGAAGGGAAAGUUCUAGAAGAAGCCAAAUCCAUUAACAAAUCACUUUCUACACGUGGAAACGUGAUCAGUUCUUUGACUUCCAGUCCACAUGCUAAAUCAUUACACAUCCCUUUUCGUGAUUCCAAGCUCACUCGCCUCCUACAAGAUGCUCUUGUUAGUACAUGCAGGUGGAAAUUUAUAUGGAGAGAGUAAGGGACCUUUUUGAUUUAUCCAAGGACAACAUAUAGAUUAAAGAGCAUAAAAUGAGAAAAGGUUUCAUAUUUCCUUAAACCAUAGACCGACAUGAUGGAUCUACUGGGAUCUGACUUACCUGUUGAAAGCGACGAAGGAAUGCAGUUUGCUUGGUCAGAUGGCAUCAUGUUGCAGUAUUCUGGAGAGGUUAGCAGAUAACAGAAAUAGCAUUCAGGUGGAGUUGAAUGAACUCAUGAAGUUGUGUAAAUGGGAACGUAAUGAGUGGUUUAUGACAAUGGAAACAUCAAAAUGGACACGUGAGAAUUUUAAGAAGUUGAUUCAUAAGUAUAUUGAUGUUCUAAAGCAACCUGUGGUGCUUAUACUUACACAAGAAGCUGCUUGGAGUGGAAUAAAAACAAUAGCAGAUCAUACUUAUGCUUCAUUUAGUGAUUCUUUUGAGAAAUACAAGCAAGUUCUUGAUGUUUCUUGCAAUGAAACUCAUUUUAAAAACAGAAGAGGUUUAUAUGGCCUUCACUUGGAGAAAUAAAGUUGAUCUUGCAUUGGGAGAUAUACGUGUUGCAAAGUGUAUCAAGUCUAACUACCCAUGUGUCCCAUUGGAGGAAGCUCAAGGUUCUUUACUUCUCUUACACUGUAAUAAUCCAUAUUCACACUUAUUUUGCAGGCAAUAUAGAUAUUGUGAGCAAGUUCAUAGAGUUAGAGUCCUUGAGUGGUGUUACUAAGGAAGAGUGGAGACAAGUGAGGCACACAUUUAAAAAAAAAUCAGCAUAAAUCUUGUUUAUAGUGAGACACACAAUAGGUUAUUAGAACUAUUAGUUUGUAAAUUUAUGUACGUUACAACUUCUAUUGAUUUGUUUUAUCUUUCUAUGGAACAAUUAUUUGUAUGACAUCAAAUUUUA